ACAAAAGUCCAGCAGAUGCGACUGUAACCUACCUUUAAAAUGUUGAAGGGUACGUUUUAUACAUUCACUAAAACUGCUAACCAUGUGCUACUACUACUAGGCUUACAACGAGGUUGCUAUUGGCUUAGUGGCUUACUCAAAUAUUUUAUAUUGUAGUUAGUGCAGAAGACAGUGCUGAAGCAUAUGCUUGUUUUAAGAAGAUGGAUUUGUAUUAUCGUAAAGACGACCCAGGAAAUGUCAACAACGGUAACAUAAGUUUUUCUACACGCUAUUGAAGUGAGACAGGAUUUGGGUAGGAUUUGUGAGUCACGAUCUUUCUCAACGGCCAGAUCAUAACAUGUUUUAUAGCGAUAAACCACAUAUAAAUUUAAUUGUUCUUUAAUGAUUUUUAGUUCUAGACUGUUAUAUUUCGGCUGUUGAGAAAGAUCGUUACGACCAUAUGAAAACCCAUCCUCGUCCCCAGGCCCAAGCUCGGGCAGCCCUCACAAUGGGGGCCGCCCGAGCUUGGACCUGGGGACGAGGAUGAUGGAAAACACGCUUUAGGAUCUAAUCACAUGAGCUUGACUUAUGCGCGAAUCAAAUCGAAACCUUGACAUCCCCCGGGCAUACCUGGGGGGAUUUGUUUGUUUAGUAUUUGAAGAAGGCGGGAAUUUGACUUUUUUUCUAGUUGAAGGUGUUUGAAUUUUUCUUUUAAACACGUGUGCCAAAUCCAAAAUGGCGUCAAUGAAUGAGUUCAAGUGCGAAGGAAUUAACUUUGUCCUUGGUUGGCUAGAAGAAAACGGCUUUGGACGAUCGAAGAGAGUUUUUAAAUGGAAGAAAAACUUUGUAAUUCCAAAAUUACGAAAUGCUGUGGCUUCCAAUUCGUACAUGGGGUGGGGUAUUUGGACUCCAAUUUUUCCCAAUAAGUGGUGUAUUUGAACGGGAAUUACAAAGAUAUGUAGGGAAUUUGACCUGACCAAAACGUCAAAAUCCAAAUUCCCGGGGGGGAUGUCAAGGUUUCGAUUGAUUCGCGCAUUACUGGGAAACCCCCUUUAGUGAAAUCAGCAUGUCCUUGUUAAUAAUGGAUAUGUGAAAAUCAUGGUGCGCUAAUGUGAGAGACGAGCCAUACAUGAGUUAUUUAAACAGGUUUAUAACGGUCGAUAAUCGUUUAAUUGCCGAACAAAAACUCGGAAUGACCGAUUCAUUUUAUUUUCCACGGAUAUUUUGACCGAUUCAAUAAAAUACUGACACUGUUCUCAUUACAGUUAAAAGUAUAUUAUUUGAUUAGCACUGUUCAAAGAACAUGAGUAAGAACACAAAGCAUUUUUUCGCUUCAAUGCGACAAGCAACAAAAUUAUAUCACAAGUAUAUGGUUUAUCAGGGUUCGUACAAAACUUCGUACAAACGUCCUUGAAUUUGAAAACAAAAAUUCAAGGCCUUGAAUUUGUAAAGAAGUACUUGAAAGUCCUUAAAUUUUUCUUGCUUUAGUUUUUGGAUAUUUUCUGAAAUUGUUUGACAUUCAAAACGGCAAUUUUGUUGAAUUGAUUUUGCAUGUUCAUAUCUGAAAAGGCUGUUUGAAACUCAUUAAAGUUGCGUUUUAAAAAAUUCAACGUCAGAUUUUACUGAUUUCUAACCCCAUUCAGUAUUUAGUCCUUGAAUUUGCUGAUACAUAUCCUUGAAAAGUCCUUGAAUUUGACUCUUCCUCACAUGAACGAACUCUGGUUUGUAGAAUAUUCGAAAACAAUAUCCGCAUGGGACUGAAACUUUUCGGUUGCGUAGAUCUUUGGCACCGCUUACCAUGCAAAGUCAUUACACAAGUCAUGUGAUUGAUCAUGCGGGAAUUGAUCAGAACUAGCUAUCAAAUAAUGUAAAUAUUGAAAACCUGACCGACCAGUAUUAUAGCCAUGCAUGCAAUGUCCGAGCGACUGCAAAUUUGACUGGACCUUUGUUAGACUCAAUAUAUAGAGAAUAAUACAUGGGUGCGCGAAAAUACCAGAUCUAUUUCGAGUGUUGAACAUGAUAUCUCACGAGUGAGAUAUCAUGUUCAACACGAGAAAUAAAUCUGGUAUUUCCAAGCACCCAUGUAUUUUUCUGUUUAUUGUACAAACAAAAUUGAGUGAAAACAAUAAAACGUCCGUGGCAAUGCGUUUUACAACAAAUGAUAUUUUCACACGUAAAAAUAUCGUAUUUUUUGCGUGUGUUUAAAUACGAUUUUUCUCAGUGGCCAAAAACUCUAUAUAACACUUAUGUUUAUAUAAUAAAAAAUCAUUAUCCAGUAUUAUACAAUUACUUUAUGUUUUCCGUGUUUGGAUGGCCUGAUCCAAACACGCGGGAAUGUUGCGAGAGUUACGAAAAGCGCGCGAAACACGAGCCGAAGGCGAGUGAUUUUGCGCGCUUUUCUUAACCCGAGCAACAUUCCCAAGUGUUUGGAUCAGGCCAUCCAAACACGGAAACCAUAAAGUAAUUGUUUUAUAAAAUAACAACAACACGAUAGUAUCGUAUUUUUUGCGUGUGUUUAAAUACGAUUUUUCUCAGUGGCCAAAAACUCUAUAUAACACUUAUGUUUAUAUAAUAAAAAAUCAUUAUCCAGUAUUAUACAAUUACUUUAUGUUUUCCGUGUUUGGAUGGCCUGAUCCAAACACGCGGGAAUGUUGCGAGGUGUCGACCAAUCAGAGCAAGUGUUAUAUACAUGUUAUUUUAUAAUUGUAAAUCUCAAUGACGUCACGAAGCGGUAAAUUGCAUGCUGUAAAAGUGAAAAUGUUUAUCGAGAUGGGAGAAAAUGUUCCAUUAAAACUAAACUUUUAUUCUGGCCAAAAUAUUACGACGAAGUUCUACACCAUACGGUAAAAACAUUAAUUAUGGAUGUUUCUAAAAAAGAUCAGAAUUUACAUUCUUUAUGUAUUUUAAUUUUAAUUUGCAUUUAAUUUUUAGACUCGCUCGAGUGUGGGAGGUAAGAAUGAAAUAUUGUAGAAACGUUUUUACAGAAACACACUGUUUGAAAAACGCGUGUGGGUUUCAGAAACAUUGCCAAAUUUGGCUAUUUAGAUAACUUGCAUGCUUAGUUACUUCCGCCGUUUGUUUGUGUGUGUGUGUGUGUGUGUGUGUGUGUGUGUGUGUGUGUGUGUGUGUGUGUGUGUGUGUGUCUGUCAGCACGAUAACUCGAAAACUAUCAAACGUAUCAGUAAUACGAAAAUUUGCGGUGGAAUUAUUAGACAUUGCCCAAGGCCAAAUUGAUUAAAUUUUGAUUCAAUUGUAGUGAAAAGUGGAUGAGAAAUUGGCAAAAGUUUGCCGGGCAUGAUGUAAAGUCCGUAAUGUAAACAAACGCUUUGUUUACAUUUUGAACUCAGUGCUACAGUUGUAAUAUAUAUAUAUAUAUAUUAUAAAUUAGAUAUAUAUAUAUAAUUAGAUAUAUAUUAUACUGAAUUUUUAACACUCUUGUGGUUCGCUAUGCUUGUAAAUCAAUACGGACUAGAGAUUCAAUUCAAGAAAGUUCGGAAGGUGCGAAAUAUUAACAACAUUCCAGUGGUCGUGUUCCGACCAUUGGAAUGUAGGCCAUGCGCAGAACGUACGCGUAGAACGGACUUUACAUCACCUUUAACUUUAUUCGCUGGCGGAAAUAUGCAGCCCCCGUACGUGUGCCCUCUAAUAUAGGGCUUUGGUGGCGCAGUCGUCAGUGCAAGCUCUUUUCACCUCUGAGUUCGUGGGUUCAAUUCUCUCUAUGGACUCAUGUGAAAAGAUUCAGUCAACGCUCUGCCGAAAGUCGUUAGGGGUGCACCGGAACUCGGUUCCGGCCGGUUAGUUCCGGCCGGAACCCCGAUUUUUUAGAGUUCCGGUUCCGGCCGGAACUAGUAAAAAAAGCAUGGCCGGAACCGGAACUCUGUUGUUUUCAGAGAGAUAGAAUAUCAAACGUUUUUGUGUCUAACGAAAGGUCACAGUAGGAAGAAAUUUGGACUACGCAAGGGAAAUGUACACCAUUAACACUUCAUUGUGACGUUUAACGCUUGUCAAUCUUUUUAUUCUAAUAUUUGCGAGCUCUCUCCUUGAUGACUUGAAGUGUCUGCCUGUCUGGCAGCGGACAAAGUAACAUAUGACAAUAUAUGGCUUAAUAAAUUAGUUCCGGUUCCGGCCGGAACUUCCGGCCGGAACUUUUUUCCAGUUCCGGUUGGAUCCGGUUCCGGCCGGAACUUAAAAAACUGGUUCCGGUGCACCCCUAAAAGUCGUGGGUUUUCUUCGGGCGCUCCGGUUUCCUUCCACAGGGAAAGUUGACAGGGUGGGUUAGAAUAAACACAGUGUCAGUUAGGAAAGUUAUAUCUCAAUUGUUGUAAAGAUAAAUAAUCUAGGUCAAGUAAGUAACAUGAGCGUAAUACUUGAUGUAAUUGGUCACUGAAAAGCCCCAAUGGGGAGUCAAGAGGGAAGAGCCUGGGUACGAGGUUGAUGGGGAGUGUGCUGAAUAAUAGUGUAAUGUAAUGUAAUGUAGUUACUCGUAAUAUCGAGACAUAUUACGAGACAUAUUAAUGUAGUUACUCGUAAAUUCUCGAUGUUACACUUAAUCUCGUCCAGUAAUUAUUGAAUAUCUGAUUAUUGACGGGAAUAUACAAAAGACGUUUUAUAUAUUUAGUCUAUGUUCUUAAGUACUAACUUCCUUCCACUCUAUAGAUCUUACAAUUCCUCUCUGGUGAAAAAUACAAAUUUAUUGCUGGUUAUCGUCAAAGUUCAAAACAGCUCUUUAACCUCUUUUUGCGAUAAAAAGUUGACUACUGCGGAAGAAGAUAUCCUUUUUUAUACUGCAGAGAUACAGUAGAUACUUUUUACUUGAGGAUGUAUAUAUUUUAGAAACGAAACUAUAGGUAUAAUGAUUAUCAAUGUUUACUCCAUCAAUUCAUAGUUCAUUUGCAUUUGCAAAAUAUUUAAAAAGGCAACCGCUUUAGGUGGGUCAGGUUAACUUGUAUUCCAGCCACUACACCGCUGUGUGUGGACCAGCCUAGUUCCUAGGCCUCUUAAUACGCCUUAGUACGCGUUCUCAUUAAAGGUUCGGUCACACGGAGCGACAAGUCGCAGGGGCAUGUUGCAGGGACAUGUCGCCCGAAACGAGUCACACGAAGCGACAACGCUAGGCGAAAACAAGUCGCACAAGCGCUUACAGGCGCGUGGUCACACGAGGCGACAAUUCAUGCGACAAGUCAAAGAACUCCCAUGAGGACUUAUAUUGAAAUUGAGCGUGCAAGUAGUCAUGGGAAUGAUAUUUUGUGAUUGGUCGGACUAAUUAUUUCCCCGCGACUUGUGAACAGACUAGCUCACACGAUGCAACAAGUCGCGGCAACGGUUUUUGUCCCCGCGACACGUCGCAUGAAAUCAAAUCAAUUUGAUUUCAUGCGACAUGUCGCGGGGACAAUUUUUUGUCCCCGCGACAACGCUUACACAUGUGACACACGAUGAAAUUCGACCCCGCGACAUGUCCCUGCAACAUGCCCCUGCGACUUGUCGCUCCGUGUGACCGAACCUUAAGAGGCAAUUUGCAGUGAAAAGUGUUCAAAACCUAAAAUCUUUUUGGCGUUCCUUUCAAAAUUACUUUGUUUUAGCUUUAUUUAAUAGUUUAUAGAGUUAGCUACCUUCUUAAAUGCAUCUGCCGGUUGAGAAACAUAAAAUAAAAGUUAAAAAUUGUCAAUUAAGAUACAAUUAUGAAUGACGCUUUAAAAUUGACGCCAUAUUUACAGCCAUAUAAGCAAACUUACUGAACUUCAGACAUCAUUUUCUCUUUGGCGUACCAACUAAAAUCUUUUCAUUUUAGCAUUAUUUUACAGAUAAAGCACUAAACAUACUUUUUAAGUUUGUUUGCCGAUUGAGAAACGUAUCGAAAAAUAAAAAUUUUGAGUUUAGUCAUAACAGCAAGUGGUAUAUUACACUCAUUAGUUUUGAGCGCGUAUUACAUAACAUACAAAAAAAUCUCCUCUUAAUAUGCUGGCGGUUAUUUCAUUCGGUGACUUCACGGGUUAGUAAAAGGCGUUGCACAGAGGACUAGGGACUAGUCUGUGUGUGGACUGUGCAAUAAUCCUGUGAAUAAUCUCAAAUUUCUCGUCCAAUGAUUUCCAGCACAAAGUUGAGAAAAUUUAUGCAUGACCCAGCAGAUACUCUCAGAAGCAUGGCAGCCAAACGAGUUGACCUGAGAAUACCUGGAGGAUAUGGACAAAUAUAUUAUAUAUUGAAAUUAAUCCUGUUCCCAACUAACUAAACAAACUAAUGUUUAGUUAUUGGCAGAACAUAAUUUUACUUACUCAACAGAAAUUCGACAAAAGUCCAAUCUAGUUUAACGUACAACAUUCGUUAUAGUUGCAUUUUCUUAGUUAUUUUGUAUGGAAACGUUGCUAUCCUUGACCAUAAUUACUUAAUUUUGAAGGAUCAUGUGAUCCAGAUGACAAUUAUCGGGUUCCUGCAGUUACCUAUGGCGAAUGUGUUCCAAAUGACACGG